UACGUAGGGUGCGAGCGUUAAUCGGAAUUACUGGGCGUAAAGUGUGCGCAGGCGGCGCCGCAAGUCGAGUGUGAAAGCCCCGAGCUUAACUUGGGAAUUGCGCUCGAAACUAUGGCGCUGGAGUGUGGCAGAGGAAGGUGGAAUUCCACGUGUAGCGGUGAAAUGCGUAGAGAUGUGGAGGAACACCGAUAGCGAAGG
rnacentral:rRNA from 1 species